GUUUAACAACCCCACCUGCUGCAAACACAUUAAUUAAGUAUUAACACGUCAAACAUUUACUAUAUAUCGAAAAAUUAAUUUUGCACACCCAUUAAUUAGGUGUAUAUGAUUUGUGAGGGAGGAGAGGAAGAGAAAGAAAACACCACCACCAACUAAUUUGGUAUCAGCCACUUCAUUUGUCUCUUGAACAGCCUCACCUGCUGGAACACAUUAAUUAAAUAUUAACACGUCAAACAUUUACUAUAUAUCGAAAAAUUAAUUUUGCACACCCAUUAAUUAGGUGUAUAUGAUUUUUGAGGGAGGAGAGGAAGAGAAAGAAAACACCACCACCAACUAAUUUGGUAUCAGCCACUUCAUUUGUCUCUUGAACAGCCUCACCUGCUGGAACACAUUAAUUAAAUAUUAACACGUCAAACAUUUACUAUAUAUCGAAAAAUUAAUUUUGCACACCCAUUAAUUAGGUGUAUAUGAUUUUUGAGGGAGGAGAGGAAGAGAAAGAAAACACCACCAGC
rnacentral:lncRNA from 1 species